UACGUAGGUGACCAGCGUUGUCCGGAUUUACUGGGCGUAAAGAGCGCGCAGGCGGUCGUUCAAGUCGAGUGUGAAAGCCCCCGGCUCAACUGGGGAGGGUCAUUCGAUACUGAUCGACUGGAAGGCAGGAGAGGGAAGCGGAAUUCCCGGUGUAGUGGUGAAAUGCGUAGAUAUCGGGAGGAACACCAGUGGCGAAGGCGGGACUCUGGGCCGAUACUGACGCUGAGGAGCGAAAGCGUGGGGAGCAAACAGG
rnacentral:rRNA from 1 species